GGCAGAUGUCUCCGGAGACAGACAGAGAAGCCAACCAGAACGUUCAAGUGCUGUGAGCCGGCCUUGGUGGGCCGGAGUGUUAAUCACCGCACCGUCAUCCUCUCCAGGAGGCUGGGCGAAGGAAGUGAGUCAGUAGGAACGAGCCCCACGGCAGUGCUUCGGGCGUAGGAGUGAGCAGUUGCGUCCCUGUCUCCGUCCUCACUGCCUUGCUCCCACCCGCACAUCGCGGGCCUCCAGGGCUCACCUGCUGUCAGCGAGUCUGUGGUUGGCCCCACACCAGGUGCUGGCUGGAAGCCAGGCGGCAUGUGGGGGACCUGAAAUCCAAAUGCCCCCUGGCUCUCAGACCCAGUCGGGAUGGGGAGAGAGGCAGAAAGGCCCCCGGGGCGGGUCACACGCCAGCUGCCUGUGGGUCACACUCUUCCCCCAGAGGUCCAGGCAGCUUCAUGCCGGGGAACAGCAGAAUUCCGCCCUCAGACCUGGGGCAGCAAGCGGGUGGUGUUGUCUCUGCGGCCCAGGUUUCUGCACCCACCGAGCUCGGGUGCCUUGCUCAGGCCAGCUCAGGGACCACUGGGGAAAACCUCUCAGGGGCCAGCGCAGGCCCCGAAGGCAGAUGUCCAGGUCAGACUGCUCCCUGACGGCUCCUUCCGUGCUGCGGGGCUGCGGUGGAGCCCCAGGCCUCCUGUGGGCCAGGCUCUCUCCUUACCCUGUCACAUGCCUUGGUUUGGGGUUCACUGUUGCUGGAGGGCUAUGUGGACCCCGGUGAGGACAGCAGCCCCUGGCAGUCCUCGGGCACCCAAGCCACUGUGCCUUGGAUUCAGCAUAGCAGGACGCGGUUCACCAAUCCCCCAAAGGGACCUGCAGACCACUAUGCCGGCACAGAGUUCCGGUGCCACCCGGGCUGGCCCUGUCCUCUCAGGUGUGCUGCAGCAGGUGGGCGGGAUCGGGGCCCAGGCCUGUCUGGCCGGGCCGGUCCACGGCCUCUGCUCAGCAGCGGUGUCUUCAGGAGGACCCUGCUGCACUCACAGCGGCCGCGCGUGUCAUCUCUCUGGUUCUCCGUGUCUGUCCAUGACACGUCCUGUGCCGCCCGGGGCACCCGUGGACGUCUGCUGUCCGUGUCAUGGCUGA
rnacentral:lncRNA from 1 species